UGCAGCCCAGCUGGAUC
rnacentral:sRNA from 1 species